rnacentral:rRNA from 1 species
CCUACGGGAGGCAGCAGUGGGGAAUAUUGGACAAUGGGCGCAAGCCUGAUCCAGCAAUGCCACGUGAGUGAUGAAGGCCUUAGGGUCGUAAAGCUCUUUUACCAGGGAUGAUAAUGACAGUACCUGGAGAAUAAGCUCCGGCUAACUCCGUGCCAGCAGCCGCGGUAAUACGGAGGGAGCUAGCGUUGUUCGGAAUUACUGGGCGUAAAGCGUACGUAGGCGGUUAUUCAAGUCAGAGGUGAAAGCCCGGGGCUCAACCCCGGAACGGCCUUUGAAACUAGGUAGCUAGAAUCUUGGAGAGGUCAGUGGAAUUCCGAGUGUAGAGGUGAAAUUCGUAGAUAUUCGGAAGAACACCAGUGGCGAAGGCGACUGACUGGACAAGUAUUGACGCUGAGGUACGAAAGCGUGGGGAGCAAACAGGAUUAGAUACCCUGGUAGUCCACGCCGUAAACGAUGAUAACUAGCUGUCCGGGCACUUGGUGCCUGGGUGGCGCAGCUAACGCAUUAAGUUAUCCGCCUGGGGAGUACGGUCGCAGAUUAAAACUUAAAGGAAUUAGACGG